UACAGAGGGUGCAAGCGUUGUUCGGAAUUAUUGGGCGUAAAGAGCGUGUAGGCGGCCUGAAAGGUCAGCUGUGAAAACUCGAGGCUCAACCUCGAGACGUCGGUUGAAACCAUCUGGCUAGAGUCCGGAAGAGGAGAGUGGAAUUCCCGGUGUAGCGGUGAAAUGCGCAGAUAUCGGGAAGAACACCCGUGGCGAAGGCGGCUCUCUGGGACGGUACUGACGCUGAGACGCGAAAGCGUGGGGAGCGAACAGG
rnacentral:rRNA from 1 species